UUUAAAUGAGGCCGGAAAUGACAUAUAGCACCUCCGAGACGACCUCUCAUGUUAAUUUACAGUUUUGUCCAGAUCUGAACUAACACAUUUAAUUAGUUGUUAAACAACAAAACAAAUAGGUUCACGUGAUUCUACGCGUUAUUUCAAGCAAUCUACACAUAGAGAACAUCUCCAACGGAGCUACGGAUCAAAAGAUACAAGCACCGCAAGAUAUGAUGGCAUGAAUGCAAUAUGUGUGCAACGACGUUCACGAGCACUUCAAAACAUACAACCAGCAAGAGAAAAUGAAACUACACGAGAUUCUAAGCAAGUUUCAUGUAGGACACGAUCAAAUCGGAGCUACGGUUCAACAACUAGGAGC
rnacentral:lncRNA from 1 species